AUGCGGUGGUGAGGACAAGAUUCCAACAACUUCUUAAACCUUUCCUAAUAUUCAUAAUGGGUUUCUCCAUCCCUUUGCAUAAUACAUGAAAUUUCCUUCCUUAGGCG